GCGCCUGUAGCUCAAUCGGAUAGAGCAACGGACUUCUAAUCCGUAGGUUGCAGGUUCGAUUCCUGCCAGGCGCACCA
rnacentral:tRNA from 1 species